UAGCUCAGUUGGUAAAGCAUCUGCCUGCAAUGCAGGAGACCCGGGUUCAAACCAUGG
rnacentral:tRNA from 1 species